AGUUCAGUUGCCAAAUAAAUAAGUGUUAAUUAUUCAAUUCUAAUGAUUUUGGGAGAUAAAAAACCCCAUAUAUUGUAGGCUCACUGAUGUCUAUCGGGGGGAUACAUAUCUGUGCGAUAUAUCUGUGAAUGCAUUUUAACAGCCGCCAGCGCCCAGCGGCAAACGUCAAUAAAACGCUGCCACAGCCGCAGCAGCAGUCAAGACUGACUGUAGAUGCUACUACCGACUGUGCUGGCUGUGCGCUGUGGCAUGCCCCCUCUGCCACUGAAAGCCAAAGACCAUUCACUUGUCAACAUUUGCUUGGUCAGUCGUCGCAUACCCCGAUAACUGCAGUGGGCUGUAGUGCUGGGGCCUACGUACGUACGCCGCCUUCCUCGAGGCGUCAAUCAAAUCAUCGGAGCUUUCAGAAAGCUGCAAAGCCGUCCAUCCAUUCAUCUAUCCGCACUCCACCGCAGGAAAGUGAGAGUAACGUUUUCUCGUCUUAGGAGGGAUCGCCGCAAGAAAAUGAAGAAGCUGGCGAAUGGCAGAAAUGUAACAACCAAGCAGCACGCAGCAAUGUAAUAGUAAUUCCGAAAAUGGACACGAAAGAAAGGUAGAGAUACCCCUGGAGACCCUGAAGACGGGGAUCUGAUUGAGUGCUGGUAAUUCAAUCAAAUGAAUGAUCCAUGAUUAUGCAGAAACAUAUUAAAAAUACGAAUUUGUAAUGUGGUCGAUUGGCAGCGUA